CCCUUCGAUGUUCUGGGCCGCACGCGUGCUACACUGAGUGGAUCAGCGGGUCAGGUUGCGCGAAAGUGUUUCCUAAUCUUUAAAUCCGCUCGUGAUGGGGAUUGACGGUUGCAAUUUUCCGUCAUGAACGAGGAAUACCUUGUAAGCGCGGGUCAUCAUCCCGCGCUGAAUACGUCCCUGCCCUUUGUACACACCGCCCGUCGCUCCUACCGAUUGAGUGGUCCGGUGAGGCUUUGGGAUCUGAGCGGAAAGAGCGUUUCGCUGUUUCUGCCCGGAAAACUCAGUCGAACCUUAUCAUUGAGAGGAAGGAGAAGUCGUAACA
rnacentral:rRNA from 1 species